rnacentral:rRNA from 1 species
GUAGGUGAACCUGCGGAAGGAUCACUA